AAAAAAGCAGGGUUCUGUUGCCUAUGUGAACAGACCUCUCGUAACCUUCAGGGAUAUAAAUACCAUUGUUUUUGGGUGAACCUGUGCUCUUUUUUGUGACUGAAGGUUCAGUUAAUGAUUGAACAUGU
rfam:Lupinus angustifolius cultivar Tanjil contig_26329, whole genome shotgun sequence.